rnacentral:rRNA from 1 species
CCUACGGGUGGCUGCAGUCGAGAAUUAUUCGCAAUGGGCGCAAGCCUGACGAUGCGACGCCGUGUGAGCGAUGAAGGCCUUCGGGUUGUAAAGCUCUUUCGCAGGGGACCAAGCAAAAUGGGUGAAUAAUCCAUUGAGUUGAGUGUACUCUGUAAAGAAGCACCGGCUAACUCCGUGCCAGCAGCUGCGGUAAUACGGAGGGUGCAAGCGUUAAUCGGAAUUAUUGGGCGUAAAGAGCACGUAGGUGUUUUGACAAGUCGAAUGUGAAAACCCAG